GACGAACCGUGCGAACGUUGUUCGGAAUCACUGGGCUUAAAGGGCGCGUAGGCGGGCGGCCGCGUCCGGGGUGAAAUCCCGCCGCUCAACGGCGGAACGGCCUCGGAUACGGGCGGCCUCGAGGGUGGUAGGGGUAUGCGGAACUAUCGGUGGAGCGGUGAAAUGCGUUGAUAUCGAUAGGAACUCCGGUGGCGAAGGCGGCAUACUGGACCACAUCUGACGCUGAGGCGCGAAAGCCAGGGGAGCGAAACGGG
rnacentral:rRNA from 1 species